UCCUUAUCAUUUUAAAACUCUCUUUCAGAUCUAUGUGGGAGGACAAGGUUCGUUUCCACGAGGUCUGAGCCCCACACGUGCGCCAUUCCUGUCUGCUCUCCCUGUCUGCUGGCGUCAUUUGUUCAUUUCAUUGACAUCUAUUGGAUGGGCGCCACCCUGAAACAGCGAGAAUACUGCAGUGAGCCAGCAGAAAAAAUACAAAAAUCCUUUCCUGGUGGAGUCUAUAUUCAGAUGAAUGACAUCACGUGUCUUCCAUGCUUUGACGUUUGAGUCAAUGUCUACCAUCCCUGUCCCAAAUCUGCACCCUCUAAAAAUUUGACACCAGUCAGGACUACCAUGGGAAGAGAAGGGAGAAGUGCCUUAGUGUCAUUGGUGACCCUCAAAGGCAUUGCUGGAGUUUGAAGCUCUCCUCUCUGCUGUGAUACUGUCCCAAGCAAGAAGGAGUGGUCCUCCAUGCUGCCGCUGUAGGAAAGCUACCCUGGUGGUUGUCUAUGCCGAGGUGGAGUUCAGUGUCAAGAAAUUCAACCGCCUUACAUGAUGGGCCAUCUGGCUGCAACAUCAGUCACCCCAUUGAUCACCAGCAUGAUUCAGCUGACCCGGCUGACUAGGAAGCAAGCUUGAAACACAACCACAAUGCAGCACAACGCCACCAGCUUUUGAAGCCGUCUGAAAGGUAUUAACAAUUCAUCCCUGAAAAUGCUCCCUCACUGGCGAGAAGUCUUCAGGAGACUUCGGUGUGGGUCUGAGAACCUGCAGAGCGACCGACCUUCCCUUCCUCAGACAUUUGGUGUCACUGAAGCCCCCAGGGACCACUUCAGUCUCCCAGACUUCUGCCCAUCCCAUCUUGUAGAGAUGAGGCUGGCCAUGGGAUCCUGGUACCAAUGGAGCCAGUGGCUGUUUUAAUUCCCCACGCACCCUGAGUAUUAGAAGUCU